rnacentral:rRNA from 1 species
AUUGAACGCUGGCGGCAGGCCUAACACAUGCAAGUCGAACGAGUGGCGGACGGGUGAGUAAUGUCUGGGAAACUGCCCGACGGAGCGGGCUAACUACUGGAAAAGGUAGCUAAUACCGCAUACCAUCGGAUGUGCCCAGAUGGGAUUAGCUAGUAGGUGGGGUAACGGCUCACCUAGGCGACGAGCCCUAGCUGGUCUGAGAGGAUGACCAGCCACACUGGGAAUGAGACACGGUCCAGACUCCUACGGGAGGCAGCAGUGGGGAAUAUUGCGCAAUGGGCGCAAGCCUGAUGCAGCCAUGCCGCGUGUAUGAAGAAGGCUUUCGGGUUGUAAAGUACUUUCAGCGAGGAGGCGUUACUCGAAGAAGAAGCACCGGCUAACUCCGUGCCAGCAGCCGCGGUAAUAC